CAGGAUACGUACUAUCAACCCCGUGCCCUGGAGAAGCAUGCGGACAGCAUCCUGGCACUGGUACGUCUGCCCUGCCAUCUGGGACUACUGCAUCUUUUCCGACCCACUUGCCCUCCCGAAUUUUCUCCCCCGCAGCUUGGGAGAAGGCAGUGCCCCCGGGGGUGGGGGAUGUUCUGGGCUCUGCAAGAGACUUCAACACACACACGGAUGUGCUGUCAAGUGCACAUACUUGGCAGUCCCCUUUGGUGUGUGCAUUUUUUUUCUCUGGGGCAGCCUGAGCCCUGAGGAAACUGUGCUUACUUUUGGGACCAUCUGCAGGUGCUGAGUCCUGUGGUCCCCAGUGACCUGUCCUCCCUGGCAACUAACCUCUUUGGCUGCAAAGACAGCUGUUUUCUCUGGCAGGGUUCCUAUGGUGACGUUUGUGCAUCUCUUGGGGACCAGGCCAGGUGCUGUCCUGAGUGGGCCGAGUGAAAAGGCUUGAUUAACUUGAGUAUCUUUCUACUGGCCUUUCAAUGUGAUGAAAUUAUGUCUGGAGAUGAGAGGAAGAAAACAGAACCCGUACCUAAUUUUCCCAGCCUCUGUUAUGCUCUGAUACGUUGCCUUUUAACAAAUAUUAAGCACCUACUGUGUCAUGCACAGAAUAGGUACUUGAUAUGAUCUCCCUCAGGUUAUCCACUUUGCUCAGAGGUUAGGCCUGGAAAUGGCAGACCUGUGUGUGUGUGUGUGUGUGUGUGUGUGUGUGUAUUGAUUGCUUGUCCCCAUCUCUCUGCUGCAGGCUUCAGUCUUCUGGUCCAUCUCUUAUUACUCCUCUCCCUUCGCCUUCUUCUACUUAUACAGGAAAGGUCAGUGUGGUUUCAAAGGUGGUGGGCAGGUUGUUGGCAGCUGAGCUGACCCCCCCUAAAGAGGAGAGGGGACCUGAGAGGAUGGCUUGGCUUCCCUCUUCCAUCAGGCAUCUUCUUCCUCAGAGGGCAUGGCUGUCCCAAAGAGAGGGUACGGGGUGGGGGUUGGGGCAGUGGGGAGAGCUUCUCAUGUGAUGCCUCUCCCCUCCCAGGUUACUUGAGCUUGUCCAAAGUGGUGCCGUUUUCUCACUAUGCGGGGACACUGCUGCUACUCCUGGCAGGAGUGGCCUGCCUCCGAGGUAGGUUGAGAGGGAGCCUGGUUUGGAUCUGUCCCUCACUGGGUAAAUAUUUAUGAAGUCACUUCUGCAAAUACAGUUUUGUGUUGGGCCCUGAGGGGGAAUAAUUGGGAAUGUUGAAGGCAUGAUCUUUUUCUUAAAGGGCCUGGUUGUAAGUAUGAAAAGCUAAUUGGCAGAACACUUUGCUGUUAUCUAGAAGAGAUGCAUAUAUUCUACAAUAAUUCCACAUAUGUCCGUAUAUAUGUUUGUAAUAAUCCGAAACUGGAAACAAGUCCAUGGCCACAAAUAGUAGGAUGGCAGGGAGUCUAGUUCUAGGGCAGAACACAAUACAGCAAUGCAAAUGAACAAAUUGAAGCUACACUCAGCAACACAGAUGAGUCUCACAAUUGUAAUGUUGAAUGCAAGAAGAAGACUACCAAGGGGCGCCUAGGUGGCUGACUCGGUUAAACGUCCGACGUUGGCUCAGGUCAUGAUCUUGCGGUCCAUGAGUUCGAACCCUGCGUCGGCUCUACACUGACAGCUUAGAGCCUGGAGCCUGUUUCAGAUUCUGUGUCUCCCUCUCUCUCUGACCCUAGCCCAUUCAUGCUCUGUCUCUCUCUCUCUGUCAAAAAUAAAUAAACAUUAAAAAAAAUUUUUUUUUAAUUUUUUUUUUCAACGUUUAUUUAUUUUUGGGACAGAGAGAGACAGAGCAUGAACGGGGGAGGGGCAGAGAGAGAGGGAGACACAGAAUCCGAAACAGGCUCCAGGCUCUGAGCUGUCAGCCCAGAGCCUGACGCGGGGCUCGAACUCACGGACCGCGAGAUCGUGACCUGGCUGAAGUCGGACGCUUAACCGACUGCGCCACCCAGGCGCCCCAAAAAAAUUUUUUUUAAAAGAAGACUAACAAAUGAUGUAUGCAGUGUGUUUCUACUUAUGUAAAGUUCAAGAGGGACGCAUACAGAAGUGGCAAAACACAGGCAUGCUUAUCUUGAAAGUCAGGAGAGUGAUUACCUGGGAGAGGGAGGGAACAGGAUGGGGAGGGCUCCUGGAGGGACGUGACUUUGUUCUCUUCCUUGACUUGGGUGAUGGUCACAGGAAUGUUUGCUUCGUAUUUUUUAAACUGGAUAUAUAUUGGACACACGUAUGUUAUAUCUCACAACUUAAAAAUGAAGAGAGAGUCCAAAUCAUUGCCCCUCGGCCGAUGCACGUGAAGAAAACUGGGUGAGGGGAUGCUUGGAGAGAGGUAGUAGACUAGGAGCUGCAUGGCUGCAGUCAUAUCCAGCCUGGGGCGGGGACCUUCUGCCUGCGGUGUCCUGCCUCCUGAUCUCCAUUGGGGUGGGCUCCCUCAUCAGAGAGGCGUUCCCUGACCACCUCACCUAAAAGUAGCUCCCAGUCCUGGGUUUUGUCUUAUUUUUAAAUUUUACAUAUUUAUUUAAGUUUUUUUUUUUUUUUUUUUUGAGAGGGAGAGAGAGAGAAUGAGUGGGAGAGGGGCAGAGAGAGGGAGACCAAGGAUCUUGAAGUGCGCUCUGUGCUGACAGCAGAGAGCCUGAUGUGGGGCUCGAACUCAAGAACUAUGAGAUCAUGAGUUGGAUGCCUAACCAACUGAGCCACCCAGGCAGCCCAAAUUUUAUUUAUUCUUAAUUUGGGUACAUAAAUUAAAUAUAGAGAAGUCCAGAGAACAAAGUGUCAUGAACUGAAAUGCUUAUAUUCUGUCAUGUAGCUUCACAUACUUUUUGUCAAUAAAGUUCUGAAGCAUUGCAUUCAGAGUUGGCAUUCCUGUUGGAAUCUUCCCCACUUCUGUGUUCCUCUUUCCCCAGAGGUAACCAUUGUCACUUGGUGUGGUUUCUUUCCUGGUCCACAUUUUUAUCCUUUUAUGAAAGAUAUACCUCAUUUGAUCAAAUCUAAGCUGUUAGGAAUUGUAAAAUACAUUCCAAUUUCAGUUUUCAAAUGUGAAAAACUAUGCAUUUUAGAAUCUAUGAAAUAUGGUAAGCAUAAACCAUAUAUAGCCAUUCAUUUGUGCAUUUUGCCUUUUUGACACAAAUGGCAUCACAUUAUACAAAUCAUUCUGCACCUUCCUUCAUUCUUAAUAUUGUCUGGGGUCUCUACCCACCCUUGAUAAUAAUAGCAUUCUAGUUGGUUCUGGUUUUCUUUUCUUUAUGGCACUUAAUCCUCUCUGAAAUGUUCUUGUUUACUUGCUUAUUGUCUUUCUCCAGCCCCACCCCACCCCCAGCCAAAGUGCUAGCUCUCUGGGCUGGGACCUGCGUGUCUUGUUUCCUGCUAUCUCCCAUGUCAGGACAGUGCCUGGCACAUGACACCUGUCGGGUCAACGGAAGCAGGAGAAGUCAGGGUUUGAGACUCCUUGGCAGUGAAGGGAGAGCAGAUGUGAUCACCAAAGGGCCAGGUGAAGAGAGGAAUGAGUGCAGUGUUGAGGAUGGCUCUUAUUUCAGAGAGGGAAGUAGAAUGGAGGCAGGGGAGGAGCGGUCCAGGAUUCAGAAGGUGGCAAAGAUGGACCCAGGAAGCAGAGAAGGAGUCUCAGGGGACAGGAAUAGUGUAGAGAGGCAUAGUUGCAAGAGAGUGGGGAUGGAGGAAGGAGACUUCGGAUUCAGUGAGGAAGUGAUUACGGGGCAAGAGCAGGAGCCAUGAGGCCAGAUGGCAGGGAGUUAGACUAUACAGAAAAGAGAUGGAAAGCAAGCAGUGAAGAAGGGUGGCAGGGAAAAAAAGACUCAGUGUUCACAAGGAUGAACAGUAAGGUUGCAUGACGGUGUGUUGCAUGCAACAGUAAGGUUGCAUGACUAGCAAAGUGAACAUUCUGGAACGUUGAGGGUUGCCAGCCUAUAAAGAAACAAACUGAAGAAGCUGGGUAGCAGAACACUGAAGCCAGUUGCUAGAUAUGGAGGAAGGGGGUCAGCUCAACUCUCCUAUUUCCCCAGACCCUGGGCCACCUGUUCCUUUCCCUCCCACUUCCCUUUCCAGGGCCUUCUCCAUGCCCAUCUCCAAUCCUCUUCCUGAAACUUACUCAGCUUGCUCUUCCCAGUUUUCCUAACACUGUCUCCUAUCCUCUCUCUACCAGGCAUCGGCCGCUGGACCAACCCCCAGUACCGGCAGUUCAUCACCAUCUUGGAAGCAACACAUAGGAACCACUCUGCAGAAAACAAGGUAAGGGGUCCCAGGAAAGGUGCCAGACAGGUGCCCUGGCAGCAGCUUUCUCAGCUGCCUCUCCAGAGCACUGGGCACCAGCUUCUGCCAGGGCGAGGAGUUGUGUUGCCACCCAUGGCAGUAGGUUUUUGCUUGCACAUUGCUGUAGCCCUUCUCCCCUGUGCAAGUGAACUGUCCACCCAGAGAAUUUUCCUCCCUACCACUUCUAAUGGGAUGUUCCACUAGAACAAUCCUCCACCCUUCUCCCCUCCAUCUGUAAGAAUUGUCUAGAUGUGGAAAUAUUCCACAUCUUAGAUGGGGGUCUUCUCUCUGUCACAGCAGCUCGGUUCUGUAAGUGUUGUUUAUUUUGGCUGUGUGCAUUGAACACCAUGCUAGUUUUGUUCAGGGAUGGGUCAAGAUGGACAGGUGUGUCCACUGUUGUGCCCAGAAGCACAGCGUGGUGCCAGGAGGGAGAAAAGCCAGGGCAUAGUGUCCUUGGAGUUGUGCCAGCCCAGCUGGUGCUGGAGUGUGAUUAUCUUUGAGAAGGGGCUUUGGGGCCCUAUAAAGCUCUUCCCUGUUAGGGAUUCCUGGGAUCAAAGAGCUGUGACCCUACCAUCAUCGUGUUACUGGUUGUUCCACGCCGCCGUUUACAGAGCUACGUAAUGAAGCUCUACCACGCCGCUGUCUGAGGCAUUUUGCGUACGCCCUUCCCAAUCCUCACAAUAGCCACACGAGGUGGCAUUAUUAUACCUCUGAGGACACAGGAAAAAAGAGGUUAAGUGACAAGCAGAGUCACAGAGCAAAGGAAGGGGCUGGGUCUGGAUUUGAGGCCUGGUCUGAGCAAAGCCUGCUUGAAAUUUGCUUUUCUUCCAUUUUGUUUUGUUUUGCCAUUUACAUUUUUGUACAGUGUUUCUGUUGUUCUUCCUUAGUCAAGUUAUUUUUGAAAAUGUCAAAAAAAUUUCCCGUGACAGAAAAUAAAAAGAGCUCUCAAAAUAGAGCACUGGGAGCUCUCAGGGUGAGGGAGGGGGUACAGCAGAGAGUCAGACACAGCUCCCGCCACCCUCAGAGAGCACGUGGACAGACUUCGUGGGGUGACUGGAGGCAUCGAUAGCCUGGCUGGCAUCACCAGCACAUGGCUGCCGAAGGUGAGAGAAGGGAGGUGGCUGUGAGGAUGGAGCAGAGAGGGCUUCGUUCAGGAGGUGAUUCCAGUGCAAAGGAACCACUCACUGUAGACAUUACUUUCCCUUGUUCCCUCUCACCCAACCUUAGGACAGUCAUUUUGAUCCUCUAGGGCAACAUCAUGUAAAGGACCCGGUGGGGGAAAGGGGUAUGACCAGCCAACAGACCCCGCCCCCACUUCCUCCCUCAAAAGCACCAGCACCUCCAGCCACCCCUUCUUGGGGUGGGUCAGUUUUAUAUUUUGGAAAAGCAAAGAGUGUUGAGUAGUUCUUCUGGAAGCAGACAGGCCAGUUUUGAUACCUGAUAGGGUAUCCUCUCUUGCCUGAUUUUUCUGGCUGUGACAGAGCUUACCCUCUAUGAACUAGGAGCGUGUUGACCUCGACUUGUCUCCCUGUGAUGUGUGGGGGCCAGUCCUGUGGAUGAGGGUGCCAAGGGUGGGUAGGUGGGCCUGCCCCAAUUUCUUAGUUUCCCUUUUCCUCCCCUCCUCUUUCUCUCCCUGCCCACCACAGAGGCAGCUCGCCAACUACAACUUUGACUUCAAGAGCUGGCCAGUGGACUUCCACUGGGAAGAGCCCAGCAGCCGGUGAGGCCCCAGUUCUUUCACUCCAUCCUGCUCUGUCCUGUCCCACACCUCCAUCCCCAUCUUGGGCCCCAGGGCCUCCUUUCCAGUGCCAUCUCCUCAUUCCUGGACCUCAGCUUGCUGCUUCUGACUCCAACCUCCCCUACAUCUUUCCAUCCUCAGGAAGGAGUCUCGAGGGGGCCCUUCCCGCCAGGGUGUGGCCCUGCUUCGCCCAGAGCCCCUGCAUCGGGGGACAGCAGACACUCUCCUCAACCGGGUCAAGAAGCUGCCUUGUCAGAUCACCAGGUGAGAAGCAGCAGGGAAGAGAGGCCAUCUGGGGUGGAGGGGACAUCGGGUGAGGACUCCAGGACUGGGUGCUAUGGAUAAAAUAGCGGCCAUUUAUUGGGCCUAGUGCUAUGUAUUUUGUAUUAUUUGUGAUGGUUUUUAAUCUACAUUUAUAUGUGAAGAAAAGAGGCUCAGGGAGGUGUAGUCUCACAGAUGGUGAAUGAAGGGUUGGGAUAUUAAUAAUUCUUUCUGACACAAAAGCUCUUUUAUUUUAUUAUUAUUAUUUUUAAUUAAUUAAUUUACUUGUUUAUAAAUGUUUAUUUAUUUUUGAGAGAGAGAGCUGGGGAGGGGCAGAGAGAGGAAAAGACAGAGGUCCCACAGUGGGCUCAGUGCUUACAGCAGAGAGCCCAGUGUGGGGCUCGAACCCGCGAAUGGCAAGAUCAUGACCUGAGCCAAAGACAGACGCUUAACUGACUGAGACACCCAGGUGCUGCUAAAAUUUAUUUAAGUAAGCUCUACACCCAACAUGGGCCUUGAACUCACGACCCCAAGAGCAAGAGCCACAUGCUUUACCGACUAAGCCAGCCAGACACCCCACAAAAGCCCUUCUAACGAGGCUGAGAGAGAACAAUGAGGUUGAGAGUGUGGUGGAGACACAUAGCCUUAGCUGGAGUGGCAUCUGGUGACAGCUGUGCCCCUGACCUGGCCUCUUUACUCCUAGAUUCUUCUGCCUUAAGCAAGCUACAAUUUCUGCAUCCAUGAAUAACGCACUUUAUAGGAUUGGUAUAUUAAGUAGAGUAACAUAUUCAGAAGGGUUACUACUUUGCCUGGGUACUUGACAGCAAAGCCCAAGCUGUGGCUACUGAUGAUGUCAGAAGUGACAACAGUAAGCCUUCCUCCCUUACAGUAGAGCAGAUGCUGUGGUAAUUUUCUAUUGUUGGGGGCUGGGAGGCAGUUCCAAGAUACCAAGGAAAGGGAUGGAUUUAGUGAUCAGUGUUGCCUGUGUGACGAUUGGUCAGAGGGACAAACCAAAUUUGCAGUUUUGAGGGGAUGCUGGACAGGGUGGUACAUACCUGUUUUUUUCUGGGGACAAAUCCUAUUUCAGGAUUAACUGGAAAUGGUUAAUUGUCUUUUUCAGAUACCUACCACAGCUUAUCUGUCUAGAUUAGUGCAUUUGUUCAGUAAAUAUUUAUUAAGCCCCUCUUUGUCAGGCUCUAGCCACCUGCUACGUGGCAGAAUAGGGCAUAUUGCAGAACAGAACAGUCAGGUCUCUGCCCUGGUGGAGUCUGCAGUCUAGUGUGGUGUAUUUCAAACUACCGUCCAUUCAUGAAUCUUGAAACCGAGUGAAUUACAGCUGUCAUUUUUUAAAGUAUUAUAGGGGGCCUUUAAAUAAGUUGCAUUUAUACAUUAACAGAAUCAUAGUUAAUAAUAACUUUGCUUUGGGGUCCGUGUGUGGCUCAGUUGGCUGAGUAUCUGACUCUUGAUUUCGGCUCAGGUCAUGAUCUCACAGUCGUGAGAUCAAGCCCUGUGUCAGGCUCCACGCUGAGUGUGGAGCCUGCUUGCGAUUCUCUCUCUCCCUGUCUCUCUCUCUCUCUCUCUCUCUCUCUCUCUCUCUCUCUCUCUGCCUCUCUCUCUCUCUCCCCCACCUGUGCACACACUCUCUCUAAAUAAAUAAAUAAACAUUUACAAAUUAAAAAGAAUAGGGGCGCCUGGGUGGCUCAGUCGGUUAAGCGGCCGACUUCGGCUCAGGUCAUGAUCUCGCAGUCUGUGAGUUCCAGCCCCGCAUUAGGCUCUGUCCUGACAGCUCCCGGCCUGGAGCCUGCUUCCAAUUCUGUAUCUCCCUCUCUCUUAAUUAAUAAGAAUUACUUAUCGCAUAUAGAAAAUAUUAUCUCCUAAAAUUUUCAAUAUUCUAAAUAUAGAUGUGUGUACCGGGCCACAAUAUAAAAUGUGCAUAUUAUAAAAGUUGUAGUAAAAAAAAUUUUGAAGAACACCAGCCUGGUACAUAUAUUACUUCAUUAUGUCCUGAAAGAAGAGAACAAAGCUGUAAAGGUCAAGAAACAAAACUAUAAAGGUCAGGGGUGAAGCAGGCCCCAGAGUCUCUGAGUGCUAGGGCUAGGAUGAUCCCUGGGUCCUACUGAGGUCAAGGGUUCGUUAACCCCAUGUUCCCCACAGCUACUUGGUGGCGCACACUCUGGGGCGCCGGAUGCUAUAUCCAGGCUCAGUGUACCUGCUCCAGAAGGCCCUCAUGCCCAUGCUGCUGCAGGGCCAGGCCCGGCUGGUGGAAGAGGUGAGGCCCCCUGCCCCCACCCCACCCCCGAUGGUCCUUCUCCCCCUACCAGGGAUGUGACCUCCUGCCCCUCACAACAUCUCCCCCACUCAGUGCAACGGGCGCCGGGCAAAGCUGCUGGCCUGCGAUGGCAACGAGAUUGACACCAUGUUUGUGGACCGGCGGGGGACAGCUGAGCCUCAGGGACAGAAGCUGGUGAGAGGGAGCAGGGAGCCCAGGCCAAAAGUGGUGCGGGGAGAGCAGUGGAGGUUCUGGGGACCUCAGUUCUACAGCAGCCCUAAGAAGUACAUCUGGGGAUAAUCCCAUCUCCCACCCCACCCUCAAGACAUGUUGGUGUAGGAAAACCCUACCACAGGGAAAUAGAUGAAGUAGGAGUUGACAUUCAAGGACCAAAAAGUAAUCUUGUAAUAGUCACCACUUAGACAGCAUUUAUCACAUAGAAGGCAUAUAUUUAAUCCUCAAAACAACCCUGCAGAAGAGGUACUAUUUUUAGGAGAGCCCAUUUUACAGAUGAUGAAACUGAGCCUGGGAUAAUUUUCCCAGACCACACAGUAAGUGAGAGAGCUGGGAUUUGAACCCAGGUAGCCUGGCCUCCAGUAUAUCCUGCCUCCAUGAGGGAGCCAUGGAAAGAGCACUGAGUCAGCAGUCCAGGGAGCUGACUCCUGGUUCCGGCACUGCCCAGCUGCUAUGAGAAUCCAUGCAAGCUCCACCAUCUCUGAGUUUGGGCUCGGGGCCCCAUGAAAUUAAAGUUUAUCUGACUCUAAGUCUGAGGCCCAGAGAUGGAAAGUGAUUGGCAUGCCACACAAAAGAAACAGUCAUGAAAAAAAUAGACCCAAAAACUAGACAGGAAAAAAAUAUCCAUAACCCCAUUUCUGAGAGCUGUCCUCCGGUGGUCUUCCAAGGAAAACGACACUGCUGAGUGGUCGAGCAGUUCGUCUUCCUCAGUUUGCUAAGCUUUUGCAUCCACUCUGCCUCUCAUGCACCUUGUAAAAUUAGAAGUUUCUAUUCCCGUUGAAGACAACAGGCCCUUUCCUCUUCCCUGUAAAGCUCCCACGUCCUGCCACACAGGGGAUUUUCAGUCCCAGCUUGGCUCCUUCCCAGCCCUUCUUCCUGCUUCCUUCUGUAGGUGAUCUGCUGUGAGGGGAACGCGGGCUUCUAUGAGGUGGGCUGCAUUUCUACACCUCUGGAAGGUAGGCCCAGGGCACAAUACUCAUCUCUGCCCUUUGGAAUGGAAUGUCCCCACCUUCCCACACCAGUAUAACUUCCCUGGGCCAGAUCACCUUGUCUGAGUGAGGUUUGAAAUUCUCACAUUUGGGGGGAAAGUUUACUCCCCAUUCGCUUUGCCAACCUUACAUUCCCUCCCUUUGGGCUGUGUCCCUAACAUUAUGGCCUUCAUUCUGUCCCCAUGACAUAAUCACAUCUCUCCCUUCUACUGCCUCAGAACCUCUGGUGUCAUCUCCCCAUUCUGAGAAAGCUUGGAGUUACUCACCUCUAAAUUUGGGGUUGUUUAGAGCUCCCAUAUUGUGUUGGCCUUUCCCCCGGGGCUGGAGGUGGGGGAGGUGUGGGCCACAAGGUCAUAGCCCCUCCUCCUCCUCCUGUGUUGCAGCUGGAUAUUCUGUCCUGGGCUGGAAUCAUCCAGGCUUUGCUGGAAGCACGGUGAGACACUCUCUGAAAUCCCUUUCUUUUCCUGAAUUUAUGGUUAUGGUCUGUCUCCCUCUGGUCAGCCACUGGAAUUAGGAAAAGGGGUGUAUAUUUCUCUGGUGGCUCUCACUCAUCUGUCACCUGGGUGCCAAGGGCAGGGAACCAUGACGCCACCCCACAGUGAGAAGUGGCAUUUCUGGAGAGUGCGGGCCCUCUCGCCACCCUUCUCUUCUGCACCCUCUGUCUCUUGUAGGGUAGCUCUGUGCUGGAAGCGUGCAAGUGGCCCAUGAACCAGCCUCUGGUGCUAACCCACUCCUGCGUUUGCCCUUCUUCCUGCAGGGGGUGCCAUUUCCUCAGAAUGAGGCCAAUGCCAUGGAUGUGGUGGUCCAGUUUGCCAUCCACCGCCUGGGCUUCCAGCCCCAGGACAUCAUCAUCUAUGCCUGGUCCAUCGGUGGCUUCACUGGUACCAGCCUACCCCCCUCCCCGGGCAAAUUAUGCCACCCCCACCCCCCUCAAAGAGCAGUAGGGAAAUGCCCUGAGAGCCCAGCAGUGGGGUAGAGGCUUAAGGGAGGAGAGGAUGGAGGAGGGAUAUCUGCGUGUGUCUGGAAGAUGGUAUCCUAUUUGUAUACGUUCGCAUUUCCUUCUACCUUAUGCCCAUUACGAAAAGAAGCAGACCAGGGUCCUGGAGGGGGGAGAUCAGGGAAGUGAAGUUUUCCUCUGCACGUGGUCUUUGAUGCACUUUGAUAUUCUCUCUCCGUCUCCUCCAUACAGUGCCCUGGCCAAGUGAAGUGAGGGGUUAAGGGGCACCUGGGGCUAACCUAGUAGAGAUGAUGGUGUCAGCCUGUAGGGUCAAUGGGACAAAGGUGGGGUGGUGGGCAGGAGCCCCUCGGUCCUCACCUUUCUUCCUUGUUCUGGUACCAGCCACAUGGGCAGCCAUGUCCUACCCAGACAUUAGUGCUGUGAUCCUGGAUGCCUCCUUUGAUGACUUGGUGCCCUUGGCCUUGAAGGUUAUGCCAGAUAGCUGGAGUGAGUGCAGCUCCCAGGCCUGCCUUUCCAGGGAAGGGGUGGGCUGGAACUGGGAACUAUUCUAACUGGAGAUGGUUCCUUUUUAUGUAGGUGGGGAGUGGGUCACCCAACGGGAUAAAAAGCAGGAGGGCUCCCCUGUCUGGGGCCUUAGUUUUCUUUGUGAACAGUGGGGAACUAUAUGUUGUGCAAGGGCUUUGUCUCUGCCAUCCCGUCACUCUGAUCCCACUCUAGGGGGCCUUGUGACCAGGACCGUGAGGCAGCAUCUCAAUCUGAACAAUGCAGAACAGCUGUGCAGGUGAGGGCAGGCCAGUAACCGGCGUGUAACUCCCUUCCCCACUUCCCCACUGUACAGGCUUUGCUGGGUAUUGAAGCAGAUCUCCCAGUAAGGCCAGAAUGUGGGCCAUGACUGUUCUUAAAUAUUUUCUCACCCCUGAGUGAAGGGUUAGCCUGUGGGGCCCUGCUAUAGUAGGGGGUUAGGCUGCAGCCAGUGCAAGGGUGGGGUGGCCACUUGUCCCCUCUCCCUCUGAGCACCACACUGUCCUCUGAAGGUACCAGGGCCCUGUGUUGCUGAUCCGCAGAACCAAGGAUGAGAUCAUCACCACCACGUGAGUGCCUGGGAGCCUCUGCCCUCCUAGAUCCCAGAUGUAGCUAGGAAGUUGCCCUUCCCACCUCUGCCCACCAGAAACCUAGGUAUCCAGACCCUUCCUCCCCAACCUCCAGCCCCUCCAGUGUACACUGUUCUCACCCCCAGGGUUCCUGAGGACAUCAUGUCCAACCGAGGCAAUGACCUCCUGCUGAAGCUCCUACAGUAUCGGUAAGCGGGAGUGUGUGUGCGUGCCUGCACGUGUGUGUGCAUGUGUUUACUGACACUGGCGUGGCAAGGGAGGGAGGGAAGAGGGUUUAGGGAUGAGGAGUGAAGAGAAUUGGGUCCUGACCUCUCGUCCUGUUGCUCCCUCUGUAGGUAUCCCCGUGUAAUGGCAGAGGAGGGUCUUCGAGUGGUGAGGCAGUGGCUGGAAGCCUCCUCACAGCUGGAGGAAGGUGCAGGGGGAUGCGGUGAGGCCUUUGGGUGGGGGCCUGGCCAGGCCAGGUCACUGACAAGCCCUCCUUUCUCUCCCUGAGCAGCCUCGAUUUAUAGCCGUUGGGAGGUGGAGGAGGACUGGUGCCUGUCCGUCCUCCGCUCCUACCAGGCAGAGCACGGGCCUGACUUCCCCUGGAGUGUGGGUAAGGACGUCCUGUGGCAGGAGGGGGUGUUGGGAAGAAGUCAGGAAGGGGGAUGAAUACCCAGAUGUAUGGCUCAUGUGUGAGCGGCUCUUCUCCACAGGGGAGGACAUGAGUGCAGACGGAAGGCGGCAGCUGGCCUUGUUUCUGGUGAGCUGAGGGGUGGCGGGCAGGAAGGGGGUGCCGGGAUGGCCAGGGGGCUUGGAGACAGGGGAUACCAUGUAAGCAUUGGAAGUGGCAGCUUGUAGGGUGUGGGAGGUGGUUUCAGAGGCUGUGGAGGUGUUUGAGGGUGCUGUAUACUGCGGUGCUCUGCACCCCACCUGUCCUGCCCUCUUCCUUCAGGCUCAGAAGUAUCUGCACAACUUCGAGGCCACGCACUGCACCCCGCUCCCGGCCCCGAACUUCCAGAUGCCCUGGCGCCUCUAGGGACCACAGUGGGACUCGUUCUGAAAGAGUGGGAUAGGAGGAGACAUGAGGAAGGCUCUUCUUAUUUGUGAUUCUCUGUGUUCACAUUGCUAUUUAUAGUUUGUGGAAAGUGGGGGGCUGUCCCCCUUUUCACUGCCCUAUUGCACGUUUCCCCUCAUCCAUCUGGCAGUACCUAACCUUCCCCAACAUAUACCCCGCAUUCAGUGAAUGGAUUAUUCCUAAUAAUUAAUAAAAAGGUAUUUUUUCU
rnacentral:lncRNA from 1 species